CCUACGGGAGGCAGCAGUAGGGAAUAUUGCUCAAUGGGGGAAACCCUGAAGCAGCAACGCCGCGUGGAGGAUGAAGGUUUUCGGAUUGUAAACUCCUUUUGUUAGAGAAGAUAAUGACGGUAUCUAACGAAUAAGCACUGGCUAACUCCGUGCCAGAAGCCGCGGUAAUACGGAGGGUGCAAGCGUUACUCGGAAUAACUGGGCGUAAAGAGCGCGAAGGCGGGAUAGCAAGUCAGAUGUGAAAUCCUAUGGCUUAACGAGAGAAGUGCAUUUGAAACUGUUAUUCUAGAGUAUGGGAGAGGUAGGUGGAAUGCGUGGUGUAGCGGUAAAAUGCGUAGAGAUCAAGAGGAAUACUCAUUGCGAAGGCGACCUGCUAGAACAUGACUGACGCUGAUGCGCGAAAGCGUGGGGAGCAAACAGGAUUAGAUACCCUAGUAGUC
rnacentral:rRNA from 1 species